CCUACGGGUGGCUGCAGUGGGGAAUAUUGGACAAUGGGCGAAAGCCUGAUCCAGCCAUGCCGCGUGUGUGAAGAAGGCCUUCGGGUUGUAAAGCACUUUCAGUGGGGAAGAAAGCCUUGGGGCUAAUACCCUCGAGGAAGGACAUCACCCACAGAAGAAGCACCGGCUAACUCCGUGCCAGCAGCCGCGGUAAUACGGAGGGUGCGAGCGUUAAUCGGAAUUACUGGGCGUAAAGCGCGCGUAGGCGGUCUGAUAAGCCGGUUGUGAAAGCCCCGGGCUCAACCUGGGAACGGCAUCCGGAACUGUCAGGCUAGAGUGCAGGAGAGGAAGGUAGAAUUCCCGGUGUAGCGGUGAAAUGCGUAGAGAUCGGGAGGAAUACCAGUGGCGAAGGCGGCCUUCUGGACUGACACUGACGCUGAGGUGCAAAAGCGUGGGUAGCAAACAGGAUUAGAUACCCGAGUAGUC
rnacentral:rRNA from 1 species